rnacentral:lncRNA from 1 species
CUUUCCAAGAAGCCUCUAGAGGAAAAGCCUUCCCAGCCAUACAGUGCCCGGGAAAGCCUGUCUGAAGUGCAGUCUCUGAGCUCCUUCCAGUCCGAAUCGUGCGAUGACAAUCUUCCAUAGUGACCGUAAUGCACCUUGUCAAUGCUGUGGUUGACACGGUGAGCACAGAAAAUCUUUGGCUGCUCCUGACCUCAGCAAACCAAGAGGUAUCACUGGGAUACAUCAGAUUGGAUGCCAAGCGUUCCUCUGCCGGACAUACAAGAGUUCCCCAACUAUGAGGUGAUUGAUGAGCAGACACCCCUGUACUCAGCAGAUCCAAACGCCAUCGAUACGGACUAUUACCCUGGAGGCUA